GACGAACGCUGGCGGCGUGCUUAACACAUGCAAGUCGAACGGUGAACCUCUUCGGAGGGGAUCAGUGGCGAACGGGUGAGUAACACGUGGGCAACCUGCCCCCGGCUCUGGGAUAACUCCAAGAAAUUGGGGCUAAUACCGGAUGUUCACCGCUUCCCGCAUGGGUGGUGGUGGAAAGGGUUUCCGGCUGGGGAUGGGCCCGCGGCCUAUCAGCUUGUUGGUGGGGAAGUGGCCUACCAAGGCGACGACGGGUAGCCGGCCUGAGAGGGUGACCGGCCACACUGGGACUGAGACACGGCCCAGACUCCUACGGGAGGCAGCAGUGGGGAAUAUUGCGCAAUGGGCGGAAGCCUGACGCAGCGACGCCGCGUGGGGGAUGACGGCCUUCGGGUUGUAAACCUCUUUCAGCAGGGACGAAGCGCAAGUGACGGUACCUGCAGAAGAAGCACCGGCCAACUACGUG
rnacentral:rRNA from 1 species